rnacentral:rRNA from 1 species
CACGUAGGGUGCGAGCGUUUGUCCGGAAUUAUUGGGCGUAAAGAGCUCGUAGGCGGUUUGUCGCGUCUGCCGUGAAAGUCCGGGGCUCAACUCCGGAUCUGCGGUGGGUACGGGCAGACUAGAGUGAUGUAGGGGAGACUGGAAUUCCUGGUGUAGCGGUGAAAUGCGCAGAUAUCAGGAGGAACACCGAUGGCGAAGGCAGGUCUCUGGGCAUUAACUGACGCUGAGGUGCGAAAGCGUGGGGAGCAAACAGG